CAAAAGGCCCUUGUUACUGGCUACUAAGGAAAAGAUCCACAGGGAGGUGGCAAGCGGCGACACUAGGGUGAGAGAACAGAGUCUCAAGGAACGGCGCUGAGACAGAGACCCACGGGAAGGAACGGCGCUGAGACAGAGACCCACGGGAAGGAACGGUGCUGGGACAGAGAUCCACGGGAAGGAACGGCGCUGAGACAGAGGUCCAUGGGAAGGAACCGCACUGAGACAGAGAUCCACCGGAAGGAACGGUGCUGGGACAGAGAUCCACGGGAAGGAACCGCACUGAGACAGAGAUCCACCGGAAGGAACGACGCUGGGACAGAGAUCCACGGGAAGGAACGGCGCUGAGACAGAGAUCCACGGGAAGGAACAGCGCUGGGACAGAGAUCCACGGGAAGGAACGGCGCUGGGACAGAGACCCACGGGAAGGUGGGAAAUGGUGGCUUUAGGGUAGGAGAACAGGCCAUGGGCAGGACCCACAACAGACUCCCAAGCAGCAGCAUCCUGUACCCUGCUACCCCAUUUCUCUGUGCUGGGGAGUGCCAAGGGAGGCAGCACAUAUGGAGCUCCACUUGGAUCUUGAAGUGAUAAUGCCCUUCAAAGGAACCAUGACAUGUGACUAUAGGAAGCCAGGACCCAUUCUUGGAUCCUCAUCUGGCUUCUCUAUGACCCAUACCACACUGUUGUGUGUCAUGUUUUCAUGUUGGGGAUUUUUCUGAUCCAAGACCUGAACAAUAUGGUUCCAACCAAAGGACCCAGCCUGAUUAGGCCUAUGCAAUUGAGAGGACCAUCCACCCUAGUCCUAACCGACCAGAGCUAGGGUCAUCUGUUCCUACUAAGAAAUCGCCAGCUGGACCAACGCCUCUCUCAGUUCUGAGGAUCUCAGCUACUGAAGACACAGCCACUCUGACACCCCACAGGAUAGCAGGCUUGCUGAGGAGAGAGGCAACACAGAGCCAAGCUACUCCCAGGUACACGACAGUCAACUCAAACCCUCUUGACUUUGCCUAGCUGUGGGGUACCUUCUUUGAGGGGCUUCUGUAUAUACUGAAGAAAUGUAAAGUAACUCCCAUGGCAGAAGAAAGAAGCUCGUCAUUGUUUGAUUUUAUUACUUCUGUGAAGGGACCUAUGAUGUCAACAUUAGCAUUCUUGGCAAAAACAAAACAAAAAACCCAGGAGCAAAAUAUCUGUUUCUUUGAUUUCUCAGGAGAGAAAAGUCAGAACAAACAAAUAAACAAAA